UACGUAGGGGGCAAGCGUUGUCCGGAUUUAUUGGGCGUAAAGAGCGUGUAGGCGGCUGGGUAGGUCCGCUGUGAAAACUCGAGGCUUAACCUCGAGACGUCGGUGGAAACCAUCCAGCUAGAGUCCGGAAGAGGAGAGUGGAAUUCCUGGUGUAGCGGUGAAAUGCGCAGAUAUCUGCAGGAACACCCGUGGCGAAAGCGGCGCGCUGGACCACAACUGACGCUGAGGAACGAAAGCUAGGGGAGCAAACAGG
rnacentral:rRNA from 1 species